GAGAGGACAAACCACGAGAUCUUAUCCUGCGCCCUUGCCGAGUUAUGGGCAACACACGCUUAACCGUCAAGGUCACACAGAUGAGCGAGAGCUUACGGGACACUGAAAUACAGUAUCGCUUUUCUGAUUCUGACCCAGCAAAUUUAGAACUAAAUUCUUAUAGAGCUCGUGACAUGGAGUUGAGCACUUUGCCAGCUGUGGAUUGAACUUUAUUUCACUGUUGGUUCUGAAAAGGAUACUGGAACUUUCGCUGGACUAUCCUUCAUAAUCCAGAAAGUUGGUUUCAGUCUCGAGACACCAGCUGACAGACCGAUUUCACGUUCAUUCACCGUGUCUCGUGACCAUGUCAGUUCUGCCAUUGAAGCUCCUCUUUCCAGAGGUUGAAAUUUCAUUCGCAAAAAUUUGCUCUGGCUAACCAGUGUCUUCUCUGUAUUUUUUUUAAAAAAUCAAAUAACUUCAGUUGGACUGAAGACACAAAUAUCUAUAUAAAAUCAGAUGGUACCUUAUUGGCCAGGAGCAAAUUUUUUAAAUGCUCAGCAUAUGGUAAUAAAAAUGCAUUCCGUGUUCUUUUAGACGUCAAUAUCAGAAUACAAAAGCUUCUUAAAGCCCUUUGAAAUGAAAAGUUAAACACCAUAAUAUCUGGAACCAGAUCUAAAUGAAAUGGAAUCUUAAAAGAUUGGUUCUUAUAGGAAAUGUCCUUUUUGUAUGGGCAUUUAAGCAAUUGCUUGUAUUUUUUCCAAAUUUCUUCAGCCUGUGAAAACUAGAAAGCAUCCUUUUAAAUAUGAGUGCAUAUACAGUGAACAGCCAGCAUAACUAUAAUUUCUAGAACACUGGUGUAUAACACUCACAGUAUGGAGGACAAGCACAUAGGCCCACUGAAUGUUAAUAUACACAGUCAUUUAAGCACACCGAGUAUGACAUUUGAAAUGAAACACCUCGCUGCAACAAAACCACAGGGACAUUUCAUUUAUCGCUAUUUCCCUGGUUUGGGGCGUUAUUUUGGUUUUCAGUUUCAAGUCCACCUAAAAGACACAAAUAUUAAUUUUACCUCGCUUUUAGCGACAAAGCUAUUAAAGUUUAUCAAUGGAGACUGUUAUUCAAUAUUUACGGUACUCUCUGCCUGUGGUUAAAAGGGGACACGUGGGGACUCUUGUGGCAGUUAUCAGGCUGGAGAGCAAACAGGGUAAUUUGGAUUGCAAUAGCAAGCAAAGAGAAGACAAUGGUUUGAGGGAAGCAGCAAUCUGGCCUGGGAGAUGCAGAGCCGUCUUGUGUGAUACCGCCUUACCUCACAAGAAACACAUUCCACAUUCAGGGAGAAAAGAAGAAAUAAAAACAACUUUAUAAUCACAUACGUAUGGGCGUUUACUUUAAAGAGUAUAUCUGGUAAUGAAUAGAAUGAAUGAAAUACUCGAAAUGAAAACGGAACCACACGAAGGAACUACAGGAUAUAACUGAGUCUCAUGGUGUUAAGUCGACACAGAGGGGGUGGGUCCAAAAGUUGGUUUUUCAUGCAAAAACAUUCAGAGGUAACACAAAAAUCCACAUAUUAGUCAUGGCUUUUAGUUUGCAGAGCGGUGAAAAGGAACACGACAUAAAUUAAAGCAUCGAUAAGUGGGUAUUAACAUUAUUAAUAAAGACCCUUUUUACAUUUAAGGGUAUAUUUAAAAUUUCAACAAAACGUAUGAUUUUAAUUCCGGAGAAUCUUUGAAAAGGAAGUUCUUCAGUAACAACAUAUACUAUGUAAAUCCCUCUAUUUCUAGUGAUUCACUUGCUCAUGGGUUGUGGUGAAAUAAAUAUCUAUUUAGUCUAAGGUCAUAUACAUUGGUUAAUGCUUCGUGACCUGACAUUAAGCUCACGCACAUAAACAUCAAUCACAUUUACUAGAAACCAGCUCGACAAAGGCAGCAGCAUGGUUUAACACAUCGGACAGAACACAUAACAGCUGGGCAGUACAGGCCCUGGAUGCGUAGCACUGGUCACUGUGCGGGACCUGUAUGCCUGGUGCUCACCGGCCCAUGCUUCAUGGUGUUUCUAAGUGGGAAGGAGGGCUGUCCCGUAAACACUGGUCUGAACAGUAACUAGGAACUGACUGAAGCCUGUCUGAUACUCAUAUAAUGGUGCCCAGCUGAUUAUCACUUUAAGAUCCUGACUGGGCAAAACAAAGUCAGAGCACUGACUGCUGUACAAUCCCACCCCAAAACAAAAGUAACGCUAUUUUUGACAAGUGUUUGAAGAAUAAACAUCUAAACUUUAAGCCAGCCUUCCUUCCUUCCUUUCUUUCAUUCUUUCAACAGGGUCUCACUCUGUGCCUUGAAUGGCCUAAAACUCUCCACAUAGAGUAGGCUGGUCUUGAACUCACAGAGUUCGACUUUCCUCUGCCUCCUGAAUGCUGGGAUUAAAGACAUGCCCCCCCUGAAGACUUUCCCCUAAAGUAUGAGUUUAUUUAAUGUAACUUAGUUGCUGCCUCAGCCCAGUCCAUACAUGUCUGGUUAGCACUUGCCAACAUCUGACUUUUGAAUGCCUUGUUGUUGUUGUUUUUAACAUAAUCUACCCAAGAGGACUCCAAGACAAAAAUACUUUCCUGGAAGUAAUACACGCUUUACAUCCAUCGUGGAAAAUCACUUUUAGAGAAAAGAAACUUCGUGGCUGAAUUUAGCUCAUAUGCAAGUUUUUUUCUUUUUUUCUUUUCCUAUCCCCCACGCAAUCAUUUUGAGGAAUACUAUUAUCGGAUGACAUCCCCAUGUACCCAUUUGGCCAUCUCUUUGUAAUUUCUCAUUAGACAGCCUUAGUCCUUGUAAUUAGUCUUAACGAAUGUGAAGUCACUACCUUAGUUGAAAAGAAAUUAGGCUUGUAAGAAUUGGGUUCCACAGAAUUACUCAUUUUAAAGUCUUUCUUAUCGCAGUUCCCUAUAGUAAUUAGACAAAAAAGCAUCCUCAUGGUUCUUUGUGAAAUAUCAAUAAAAAUGAGACACACGUAUCAUACUUGUGUGACCGCCACAACAUAUGAGACCUAGGUGUCCAGAAUGAGUGGAGUCCUACAGAGAACUGCAGGAGUAUGAGGAGUCUCCCCGUGUGUGUGUGUGUGUGUGUGUGUGUGUGUGUGUGUGUGUGUGUGUGUGUUUUAACCUAGUGUGCUAUUCUUCUUAGUAACCUUGUAACAGCUCCAUCUCUGGUAGGUGGAAAUGAGCUUCACGUGAACAGAAACUCAGUGUUAUUUAGCUUCUUUCCCCUUCUGGAAUGACAGGGUACUCCUAUACUCUCCAGGACAAGAUAUCAGAGAGAGUAGCGCACCAGCUAGUACUACAAAUGACAGGAGGGACACAUACAGCAAGACUAAGCGUGACCACAUACGUGUGUUCUGUGGAGACACAUACACUGAAAAUGAGUAGACGGAGACACAGUGAUGAAACCUACGUAUCAAAACAGAUUUAAGAGAGAAAGGAUAACAAAUUAAUAACAAACUUGUGAAACAAGAAAGAGGCCAGGGAAAAUGUGAAGACAACGCGUGACAGUGGCCAUUGCUGUGCCGUUUUAGUCAGCUGUAUUAUUGACCUACACAUGGAGCCUGGUCUUUGUACAGAUAUACUGACAUGACAUUUAGAUUUUGAAUAAAACACAAAGAUAGGGGAAUACGUGGGGGAAAGAUGAAGAAACCUUAGCCAUCUACUCAUUAUGGUACUCUCUCCUUCUGUAUAUUUCAACAUUCCUAAAAUCAACAGCAUGAAAUUUUUUUUGACACAAUUGGUUACACAUAACAUUGUUAAAUGGUGCUGUCUUGUUUUCUUUGGUUCAUGUAUUAAUUUGCGCUUGGAAGAUAUGAGAGAUGUUUGAUUAAUCAGAGUUUUGAGAAGCACUGAUUACUGAUUAGGAAGAAAGCCUACCUUAUCAAAAACAUUCCAAAGUUAUUUUAACGAAAGCUAAUAUUAGAAAAAAAUGAUUAAGCCUAAAAUCACAUGAAUGAUCAAACAUUUUAACGCUGUUCUCAUGGAAGAAGAAACGAUGGACAGCUGAGAAACUGUGGUAAAGUUAAAGGAGAAAUCACACAAGACAUUUAGUUCACCUUGCUAAGUGGAGCACACUAUACUAUGUGCCUACAGGGGGACCUGGAAAUGCACAGUUAGCCAGAGAGAACUGUGAUAAGAUGAGCAUGGCUCACCCAUGUCUUCUAAUGCUCUUAGGCUGGAAAGAUAAAGAACAAUCAUGGGUUAAACAGGAACUAGAAACAUCAAGGCUAUCAGGAUAAAAGUCAUUUCUCAGAGGAUAAAACUGUCUAUACCGUGGAAUAGUGUUGCCAAAGAUAAAUUAUAAAUGUUGAUAUUGCCCCAAAUAGAAGGUCUGGGUAGAUAGCCAAGAUGCCUAAGGAGCGUCCACAGUGAACUGAAUGUAUGAGUUGUCUCAAGAAAUUUGUAUGUUGAAACCCUAAACCUCUUAUGAUGCUUUGUGGGAGUGGAAGGUAGCUAGUUCACAAGGGUGGAGCCCUCAGGUAUCCUGUAGAGGUCACACUAGCUGAAGAGUAAGAGUGGGAUGUUGCCAGUGUGUAGCUUUGAAAAGCGUCCUCACUAGAAGCACCGCUGGUUUUGCUGUCUUAGUGUCCUGUUCUCCAGAACGAUGUGUCAUCCAUCUGUGCGGUUCACAUGCUGCUCUGGGCUGCUUUGUUACAGCAGCCUGGUUGACACUCAUAUGCAACCUUUGCUGUAUUGUGUAGAUCCUAAAAUCUGCUGCCUCACAGGAGACUCUGGGUGGCUUGGGCACUGGUGUGCAGUGUGAUGUGUGUCAGACUCACACGCAAGCUUGGAAAGAAAGGAAGACCCUGAGCCUCGCCUGACAGACUUUGUCUAUUGCAGUUGCCUUUUUUUUUUUUAAAGGAAAGCAUUAUGUGUAAACACAGAACAUCAUGUAGUGCAGGAAACAGAUGCAUGGUUUUUCAAGGGUGCAGUUCAGUGGUGUCAAGUAGAUUCACAGUGUUAAGAGCAGCUCUCCCGAAGGCUUGUGUCUCACAACACUGAAACCUCUCCUCUUUUUGACUUUGUGAAUUAAAUUACUUCUGUUACCUUAACACGUUCGUGCAGGGUGUUUUCAUGCUAUUCUUCUAUUUCACUAAUGCAAUGCCUUUAUGUUCACCCAUCUGGUAGUGCAUGUUGAGAACAUUUUCUGUCUUUUAAAGGCAAUAUAAUAUACUAUUAUAUGUGGCAUAAUGCUUAAUAGAUAAACCUGUCAAUAGGUAUGUUUACCUUCUUGUGAAUGAUGCUGUUAUGAACACAGGCAUACACAAUAUCUUCAAGACUCUGCUUUCAAGUCUUUUAAAUACACCCCCAGGAGUGGGGUUCCUGGGUCAUGUGACCUCAGAGAGUUUUAUCUAAUACUUCUGGGGCAUGUCCCAGAAAACUGAACUUUUGAUAAGACUUCAGAACAUAUUGAAAUAUAAUCUGUAGUUCACACUCUGAAAAGCACCAAAUUUGGGAAAUGUAUGUAUUGCACGUACAUAUAAGAGGCAUUCUUAAAGGUCUUCACUGAGACAUUUAAGAAAAUGUCAUUCAUUCUAAGGAGGAGGGCACUGGUAAAGACUAUAUUUGAGCACAAGGCCCUCUGGGUGGUGACUGUUGAAGCUGGUGAUAAACUGGUGGCCCAGUGUCAGGAAGCUACAGCACUGACUGUAGCAGCUCACUGUCAACUGGGCUGGGAUUUCAGAGUAACAAAACAUGCAGUGUUGACUUAUUCCAGCUAAAGUAUGAAAAGGCUGGUUCCCUGGAGUUAUGUGGCUACGAACACACAGUUCACUGUGCAAGAAAAGCAGAAACAUGCUCUAUAGUAGUCCAAAGGUUUGGCCAAAGUCAUGGUGCAUUCUGUGACCACUAGCAAUAUACUCUCACUCAUGAUCCUUCAGAGCGACAUCUAAUAAGACAAAUAAAGUCCUAAGAAGCAUGACUAUAUUCUGAGAGGCGAGUCUAUGCUUACUGGAUCCCUCCUCCUCCUCCUUUCUUUUAUUUUUAAGGAAUUUUUAUGGGAGAAAUUCUAUUAAAAGCCAGCAAUCUAGUGACAUCUAUAAACAUUAGUCCAGUAGGGACUUUAUAUAUAAGAAAACCAUUGAAACCAAUUUACUACUGGUAAUGGCAGAACACAGGGUUAUGUUCUGGCUUCCUUUGUGUUAACUAUUUACAUUUCACUAAUGGGCUGGUUGCUUUCAAAGGUCAGGUAGCAGUCAGGCCAUACUCUGAGAUCAUAAAAGCAAGGCAAGGGUGCUGCCGAGACUUCCCAUGUUUCUAAUAGUGUACACUGUAGAGAGAAUGUCUUCUGUCUGUAUGGAUGUGGCACCUGUCAGUAAUAAAUCUGAAUGCCUAUGGCUUAGGCAGGAAAUAGGAGGUGGGACAUCUGGAGGCAGAAAGGAUUCUGGGAUAGAGCCAGGCACAGGAGAUUUGCCUGAGAAAAUGUGGUAAGAUAGGUGUAUGGUACUCAACAGGUGGUUAGCCAUGUGGCAGAAUGUACAUUAGAAUAUAUGGGCUAAUUUAAAUUAUGAUCUAAUAAGAGAAAAGCCUAGUUAGAUGGCCAAGGUAUUUGUAAAUAUAUUUUGAGUCUAAGUCAUACUUUUGGGAGCAUGGGACUGGGAGGAAGGGACAGACCUAAGUUUUACAGUACAGCCUUCCUUUAGUCUCUAAUGGCUGUGUUUGCUGCACUGUUCUGUGUCAACUACUAGUAUGACAAAGACUCUGUCAUGGUGAAUGCUUACAGCCCAAAUCACAUUAAAUAAUAGCUCUUUCUCUGGAAUUCUUUCGUUAAAAAAUUACCUAACAUCAUUUCUUACUAUACAAUCCAGUAUCUAUUUAAAACAGAUAAACAAAAAGCAAAACAAAACGGAAAACCAAUAAAAAACCUAAUUGGACAGACAUAGAAGAGCUGAUGAAUGAAGAAGUUUACCCUCAAAGCAAGCCAUAUGCUAAAAUAAAAAAAAAUGUUAAGCAAGAAGAUGCCAUUUUAUAACUAAAUUUAAUAUUCCUUCACGUCAGCUGAGAGGACAUAACAAAAACGUCAAACAGUGAGUUGAAACAAAUAACAAUGAGGAAGAGGUGAAAAAAAGAAAAAUCCUAGUAAAUGGUGCCCAGUGGUGGUCAUUUCCCUAAAUAUGUGCUAUGAGAGGUUUUAGUUGAAUAUAGCAAUGGGUCAUGUGGCCUCUGGAGAAUUUCUAGACAUGUGACUAAAAGAUGUCUAUAGUCUCUGCAUUUCUUCCCUUCUGUUCUAUCUGCUUUCUUCACUUUGGGUCAGACUCCUGUUUAAUUCUUGGGAAUGGUAAUCCUAGUCAUUCAAGCAGUAUGUAUGGAAAAACCUGUAGCACUCAUCUGGUUCCUCCUCAAGGCUGAAGACACACAAAUACAAGGCACUGUCUUCAACCUCCGGAUACUUUGGAUUCCAGUUACAACGACAUCUGGUAGGACAGCCCACUCUUAAGGGGAGGCAAUUAUCUAUGAUGGCCAGACUGCAUCCUGGAGCAGUACACAAACACCAACUUGCCCCCCUCACAAAUAGAGUUCUUCAAUCAUCACUGAACUGGAACUGAGACAGUAAACAAGCCACACUUUGAUGGAGGCUUCUUAGCAAUGUCUACCACUUGCUCCCCGUUACAUUUACUCCAUGACCAACACCCCAAACACGGAUUUGGGUUCACUGCCUCUCUUCAUUCAUACUGACCAGUGUGGUCCCAUUGAUUACAUUUUCUGUCUCUGCUUUUCCAUCUAGAGUCUCUUUAGCAUUUAAAGUGGGUGACCAAGUCUAGCUUUUUAGGAGUCCCAGAGCUAGGACACUGGUCUGAAUACUUCAGGAACUCUCCUCUUGUUCCAAACCAGUAACUUCCCAUGUGCCUCCUCUAGAGUUUAAGGUCUAAACAUAGCAUUCUAUCUGCACACUCGCACACUUCACAGAACAUGGCUCUACUACAUUUCAAAAUAUUUUCAAGACUAUGACAAUACUCCGUAAGAUCUGCUAUUGUCAGUCAGCCUGAGCUGUGGUCCAAUCUGCAUGCUCUAAGUUCAUUAGCAAAAACACAUCUGGGCUGGGAGCUAAAAUAAGGGAAACUUUUUGAGCUACAAACCUUGUCAGUAUCAAGACAUGGAAAAGAAGAGUUUGCACCAGCUCUCGCUCACAGGUACCUUGGAGUUCAUCUUAAAAAAACAGCUUCAGGAAGGCAGAGGGAAGAGAGCGCUUGAGACACAUCUAAGACCUCAGCCUUUGACUUAAGUGUCACUUCCAAUCUUUCAGUGUAAUGAUGACUUUGCAUUUUACAUACUGUAAAAUGCUUUCCCUAAAUAUGUGCCUCGCAUGACCCUCCCAGAACUCCUCGAGGGUUUAAUAUUCUUAUUUUAGUUAAAAGGAAAAACAAUCACAGAUAUUAAGAGUCAGUGGAAACCAAAGACUGGCAGCCAGAUAUGUUUACAAUUACAGCCCCUUCUCAUAACCACCUUUUUCUUUUUUUUCCGGAGCUGGGGACCGAACCCAGGGCCUUGCGCUUGCUAGGCAAGUGCUCUACCACUGAGCUAAAUCCCCAACCCUGCAUAACCACCUUUUAAGAUAUGGAGGGAACUCAGAACACACUGGAUUCUCUCAGUUUGCCAUUAAAUAUCAGGUUGCUGCUAGGAACAUAAAGCAGACAAGUAAGGGAGUGUGGGAUAGUAUAUCAUUCUGACAGAGAUAUUUCUUUUAAACUAAGACUGAAUCUAAGAAGUUAUUUCCAGAACCUAUAAAUCAAUUUUAAAAUCAUCUUCUAGGUUUGCCGAUAACACAGCACUGAAACAUGCCUACAGAACACCACAGUCAGACUUUGUAAGUCACACCUGGUUUGAAACAGGAGUAAGGGGGCUGUGUAAGACUUAGAACACUAGGUUGUGCUGAGAACCUUAGUAGAAAAAUAUUUGGAGCAAUUCGUAGGAUUCCCUUAUUUCAGUCCUCCAACUAUUUGAAGAAUAUGUCAACAUGCAAAAAUGUUAUUAUGAGAAAUGAUGCUGCAAUUCUCCCCUUUGCAUGGCUAGGUCUGCACAGGAUAUUUUUUUAUUAGGUUUGGCAGAAUAAGGCUGGAGUCAGACUUCACUCAUUAUUUCAAGAUUUACUCUCAUUCUUGGAAUUCUUGUCAGGCGUCCUAGGCAAACAGUUUUUGUUAGAAGAACUGGUUGGCUCAGUAGUGUGAGUGCAUAACCACGAGAAGGCUGUCCAUAUCUGUUCUCAUUAUUCUAGAACAAAGCACUGGUUUCAGCAGAACACUUCUGGAAACGUCAACUUGCCCACUCCAGCCCUAAUCAAAACCAUGAGACACAUACUUUGCCCACGUCUUCAUGAAUCUUUUAGGAGGCUAAAGUUUGAAGGUUCCGAGUUGCUAAUUUGUGCCCUUUCCCCACUUCACAUGGUGACAUCAUUAACCUUACUGUGGCAAAAUUAGAAGUGAAGCCUUCAGGAGGAAAAAAAUUUCAUGACUCAGAUUUUGAUGCCCUUAUGAUAAA
rnacentral:sRNA from 1 species